AGGCCUCUUCUGCGCCAUGACCCAUGUGGGAAACUAGCAGAUGGAUAAUGACACGUUAGAGGAGUAAGUGGGACUACAGAUAACUUUGUGUUAAUAUAAUUUUAUAUCACCCAGAUGGGGCCAAUCAGAACAAUUUUCUUAUAUGGUAGGUCCCUUCCCUUCCCUUCUGUCAGCUUUUGUGAACUCACACCUUUUUCUAUUAGCAUGGUGUGGGGACAACCAGAAAUGAGUCAGAAAACAUGAGAAGCAGCAGGUGAUUCCCUGACACGUGUUCCCAUUUUCUCAAAACUCCACAGAAAGCAACAUUCGGCUCUCAGGGCCGCACCAUGGUUGCCAGUGAGGACAUUUUGCCUGCACAGAGAGGGGAAUAUUGGCAUCCACAACUGCUCAUCACAGGAGAGAGCCGCUCCAGAACUGAAGCCAACUGAGUGUUUUCAAGUUGCACAUAGGAAGCCCAAGGGACUGAAUAUCAACUUCUGGACUUGGAACACUCUCUGCGUCAGUAAUAGCUCCUCAAGAGCCUACAUUAUUGCAGCUAGUGAAGUCAGCCUUGAUGUCAGACCUUCAACUCGGAGGAAUGUCAUUAAUCUGAGCUAGGGACUUGUAGCCAAACCCAUUAGGGUACCUUUCAUUAGUUAGUGACUGUAACAAUGUCACAGUUGGGGGUGGGGGUGGGGGAGGAGGUAGGUAUUUAGAUUUGUGCUUCUUAGGCCUUUCCCCAGACAUACAAGAAGCUAAUGCCCAUUCGGAAAAAGGCUGACGAUCUGAGGGGACAGCUGGGAAAUGACUUAUGGGAGGAAGACACCUCAGGCCAGAUCCAGCCACUGAAAUGAACAGGAUACAUCUGCCCCAUUAUGUUUUAAUUCUUCCUACAGACUGGAGCAUUCGGGGUCCUGGAGUCAGGAAAGUGACUCCCAUUAGCAACAUCAACAUUGGCUUUUGAUUGUAAGCUCUUUGGGGGAGAGGCUAUUGUUUUGUUCUGUUUAUACAGUACCUAGCACCGUUGGGUUCUGGUCCAUGACUGGGGCUCUUAGGCGCUACCAUAACACAAGUAAUACAUAGGGAUAUUUAGAAAUAUUAACUAGUUUGGAGAGUUCAUGGAACAGGCCCAGUUCUUCAGAAUGCCCCUUUGUGGGUCUAACUCUAAGGGCUUAACGCUGUGCAGUUCUGAACACCUUUAACUUCCUGUUCAGUCUCACAACUUUCUCCUCCCCUCCAAGGGGGAGGCUCCAAGCUCAGCACCAUCAGACCUCAAAGGCAGUCUGAAGGUAAGAGACAGCCUAGAACCAGCAAGUCCUCCAGAAUCACUUGACCUCAAUGUCUCAGUCCUUACUUUGCAAAAGCCGUCUACACACGUGUCUGCUUGGCUGCCACUGGGCUCUUCAAGCCACAUUCCAUUUCCAAAGCGUAAACAACUGAAAAGCCAGUGCAGUGAGCUAAUCUAACCAAAGAAACCACUUCAAAGUGAAUUACCUGCCACUCGUUUGUUGCAGGAAAGGCGAGACUGAAGUGCUACAUGAACAUUGCUGUGCUAGUGCUUUUCUCGAGAUGUUUACAACAACCCGCUCAAGGAUUAAAAAAAAAAAAAAAAAUACUG
ensembl:lncRNA